rnacentral:lncRNA from 1 species
AACGAUAUUUUAUAAUAUCGGCAAAAAUAAUUCCGACGAUGGUAAAAGUGUCGAGCAAAGAACGAUGGAAAAUUUUUAUUAGUAUUUGGUAAAACUAUAGUUAUCGGCGACGCUUAAUUAUAGUAUCGGCACACGUCAAAUACUGAAUAUGCUAGAAUAAAGUGUUGUCUAAAAAAUAUUUUGUUGCAAUGUUCAAAUGUGUUAUAUAUUGUCAAAAAUUAAAGUAUUACCAUAUGAAU